AGGUGCCAGACCCUUUUUUGGCCAGAGUUGGAGGAACUGGUUAUUUUCCCAGGGCUUUGACUGAAAUGGCCUUGUGAAUGGUUCCAGGAAAGCCAAUUUUGGAGACCCUAUGUGGAUGAUGAUGCUUGCUGUACUUUCUGUGGGUAAUCGGGCCAAGUAUAUGGGACUGAAGCUAAUUUUGCAGGUGAGAAAAUGGAGGUCCAGAGAGAAAAGUGACUCACCCAAGCUGAAAACAGUUGCAGGAAGAAAAGCCAGGACAGAACUGGGCUGUUAGAAACCUUGGAGUACACUAAAGAUGAGGAACUGAGUCACCGCAAUGCCAAAUGUAACACGCUGUGGGUCAAAAUUUGGAUGGUUGCGUUGGAAAUUAUUCUGAAGCCACAGACAGGGCUAAAAGGUAAGUAUGAAUAAUUAGUAAUGCUUGCCAUAGACAGAUUAAAGUGUUGACAUCACAUAGGACAAGAAUUUGCCACCAAUAGAUGAGAGGAUUGUUGAUGUCCUUGAAUUGGAAAUGAACGAGCUAAUUGGUUAGUUACUUAUUCACUCUAACCCAGAAAGCAGCAGCUUGUGAAAAAAGUUUUUGCUGGUAACACACAGGAAAUAGAAAAUUUAGUAUUUUUUCCAGUGGAAAAGCCCUCUUGUAUCACCAAGCAGAAGAGAACAUGAUGUCUUUUCUUUUGAUGUAAUUUAGGAUGAUUCACAAAGUGUUCAUAGCAGGGAAGCUGAUGGAAAAGUGACAUGCCCCUAGACUUGAGAGAUGCUCUCUAAGUUUAAAAAGGAAACAGCUUAUUGUAAAAUUUAUUUGAAUCCUACAACCUUCCCAUAUCUGUGUAAUUAGCAAAAAGACAAGCUGCAACCAGAGAGGUAAAGUAUCAAUUUAUCUCAUACUUAUUUAUUGAGAACAUCCUCUGAGCUGUGUACUAUGUUAGGCAGAGAAAACAAACAAUAAGCAAGACACAGUCCCUGACUCCAUAUGAUUAUCAGGGAGGCUAGGAAAAGUCAUCUCUGCUUGGACAACUCCUUUCCAGAAAUACCUCUCUUCUCUUAAAGGGACAUGCACAUGUACAUAUUAUAAUAAAUGAAUCGAGGAAAUAUAUAAUAUUUAUAUAUAAUAUAUAAAUAUA
rnacentral:lncRNA from 1 species